AUGACAUUGCAGAGAUUUCCAGGAGGGCCCAGAGCCUGCCCAAGGUGAACAAGAAGAGACAACGAGUGCUGGUCUUCACUCAGGGCAAGGAUGAUACUGUGACCACUAUCGGUGAGAAGGUGACCGUUCCCUGUCCUGGACAUUGACCAGAGCGACAUCGUGGACACUAGCGGAGAAGGAGAUGCCUUUGUGUGAGGCUUCCUGUCUGGAGCUGGUCCUCCAGGAGAGGCCGAUGGAGGAGUGUGUCCGUGGGGGCCACUACGCAGCCAACGAUAUCGUCAGACGGGCAGGAUUUACCUUCCCUGAGACUUCCAUUGAUGCAUCCGACCAUUAUUCCCCAAGCACUGUGCUUUGAUUUCCAUGUAUUUUCCUUAAAAACACCUGCUGCAUUAAGCUGUGUGUAUGUGCCUCAAAGUUGUGUA